ACUCAAAGGAAUUGACGGGGGCCUGCACAAGCGGUGGAGUAUGUGGCUUAAUUCGAUGCAACGCGAAGAACCUUACCUGGCCUUGACAUGCAUUUGGUAGAACCAUGAAAGUGGGACGACCCCGCAAGGGGAGGAUGCACAGGUGCUGCAUGGCUGUCGUCAGCUCGUGUCGUGAGAUGUUGGGUUAAGUCCCGCAACGAGCGCAACCCUUGUGUCCUGUUGCCACCUCUUCGAGAGAAGAGAGCACUCUGGACAGACUGCCUCGCUUAAACGGGGAGGAAGGUGGGGAUGACGUCAAGUCAGUAUGGCCCUUACGGCCAGGGCUGCACACGUACUACAAUGCCCGGUACAAAGGGAAGCAAGACCGUCAGGUGGAGCAAAUCCCAGAAAACCGGGCCCAGUUCAGAUUGCCGUCUGCAACUCGACGGCAUGAAGUUGGAAUCGCUAGUAAUGGCGCAUCAGCUACGGCGCCGUGAAUACGUUCCCAGGCCUUGUACACACCGCCCGU
rnacentral:rRNA from 1 species